GGAGAGGACGCCUAGUGGUCAGAGUGUUUGGCUCCUAGCCAAAAGGUUCUGAGUUCGAACCCCAAUAUCUGCA